GACGAACGCUGGCGGCGUGCUUAACACAUGCAAGUCGAACGAAGAGCGAUGGAAGCUUGCUUCUAUUAAUCUUAGUGGCGAGCGGGUGACUAACGCGUAAUCAACCUGCCCUUCAGAGGGGGACAACAGAUGGAAACGACUGCUAAUACCGCAUACGAUCUCAUCUCGGCAUCGAGGAUAGAUGAAAGGUGGCCUCUACAUCUCAUCUAUCACUGACGGAUGGGUUUGCGUCUGAUUCGCUAGUUGGAGGGGUAAUGGCCCACCAGGGCGAGGAUCAGUAGCCCGAAGGGGAGGAUGGACAGCCAGACUGGGACGGAGACCGGGCCCAGACUGACACGGGAGGGAGCAGUAGGGAAACGUCAGGAAUGGACGAAAGUCUGACGGCGCAACGCCGCAUGCGCGAUGACGGCCUUCGGGUGGUAAAGCUCUGUUAAUCGGGUCGAAAGGUCUUCUUGCGAAUAGUGAGAAGGAUUGACGGUACCGGAAUAGAAAGCUACGGCUAACUACGUG
rnacentral:rRNA from 1 species